GACGAACGCUGGCGGCGGGCUUAACACAUGCAAGUCGAACGGAAAGGCCCUGCUUUUGUGGGGUGCUCGAGUGGCGAACGGGUGAGUAACACGUGAGUAACCUGCCCUUGACUUUGGGAUAACUUCAGGAAACUGGGGCUAAUACCGGAUAGGAGCUCCUGCUGCAUGGUGGGGGUUGGAAAGUUUCGGCGGUUGGGGAUGGACUCGCGGCUUAUCAGCUUGUUGGUGGGGUAGUGGCUUACCAAGGCUUUGACGGGUAGCCGGCCUGAGAGGGUGACCGGCCACAUUGGGACUGAGAUACGGCCCAGACUCCUACGGGAGGCAGCAGUGAGGAAUAUUGCACAAUGGGCGGGAGCCUGAUGCAGCAACGCCGCGUGCGGGAUGACGGCCUUCGGGUUGUAAACCGCUUUCGCCUGUGACGAAGCGUGAGUGACGGUAAUGAGUAAAGAAGCACCGGCUAACUACGUG
rnacentral:rRNA from 1 species